CUGUCUCACAGCGUACUCUGGGCCUUUACGUGAUCAUUAAGGGUGUGUGUGCGUUUGUGUUUGUGUGCGUGUGUUAAAUAUGCUAAUAUUUUGACGGGAUUGCCACGGUUCCUUUUCUGCAGUUGACAAGCCACCUAUUCUUCAGCUGUAUAAUAUGUGAAGGAUACACUUCCCUUCAUCUCAUUUACAGUAACACAAAGUCACAUAGCAGAGAGUCUGUAUUCUUGGUAAGUAUAUUAAAUACACUAAUUAACUAGCUAUAAUGCUCCCUCUCCCGCAUAAAGAGUCUCCCUCCUCCCUGGUUAUCCAGAAGGUUCUUACUUAUGCCUGGCCCCUCUGCUCUGAAUUCACCACCACAGGCUUUACAGGAAUUUGGCAAGGCGUUCAUCUUGUUUCUGUGUUUUAUGAGUCUGAUGUGUACGUCUGUAAUUGCGGUUAUGGGUGAUUAAACUCCCAAUGCCCCUCAGGAUCCGCGGGCAGCUAUCGCUCAGCGUCAGGCCCACUGCAGGCUCCGGGCUCCCGGCUGCAGCCUGUAAUUGAUUCCUCUACAUGCGUCCCUGAAAUAAAGCUGAUUUAAAGAGCAUCGAAACAGCCCGUGAGUUUGGUGUGUGUUUUGCUAGCUCAACCUCUGAGAUGAGAGGCCCAUAGAUAAGAGAAAAGAGGACAGGUGUAAUUUUGGAAGAACGGUGUAGUCUGUUGUGUGUGUGAAACAGAGAUUGGGUGAGUGGAGAGAGGAAUGUGUGUACGCGUACAGUACAGUCUAUCAUGUUUAGGAAUUUAAUUUGUGUGUGUGUUAAUGUGUUUAUGCCCAUUCAGACCUGUGUGUGUGUGUGUGUAUCUUUGUAUGCGUACGGUUUGAUUCUCGGUGUGUGUAUAUACAAGGAAAAAGGGAGGCCUUGGGGCUUGCUAGCUUUCUGGACUAAUUGGCAUGGUAAUCAUGUCUCUGUGGGUGGGAUAGAGGAUAUGGGAUGAUGUGUGUGAUGGGAAGGUUCCAUGCCUUAUCUCUAGAGAGAGUGAGCGACCGCAGCCCCACUGAACUCCUCUGAUCUCCAGCUUGGCCUGACUCAGCUCCUCUUGCUGAGGGGAGCCUGUUUUCUCUGGUCCCCCAGUCAGACCACCACACUGUGACCCUGGCCCCUGAGGGAGGGAGGUGGAGGGGAGAGGAUGGAGUGAACAAAAGUGGAGAAGUAAUGGAAGGACAGAAUAGUUCCUAGAAUAGAGUGAGGAGAAGAUUAUUCGAGAGAAAGAAGAGAGGAUUGGAGAGAGGGCCACAGUGGAGCGUUGUUGAGCCCUGACUGUGGACCUCGGCUGAGGCUCCAUUUUGUCUAUGAAAGAGUAAAGCGUUUUCCUGUUGUGAUCGACAUUGUUGCUUCCUUCUUCUAUUUGGUCCACAUGAAGGUGGGACACUGAGAACACUGAGUUGAUGAUGAAGCAUUUUACUCUCCAGAACACUGAUUUCUCAAGACUAAGUAGUUUCCCUUUUUAAAGUUUGGCCGUUCAUGUGAUUUUCUGGAAAAACCCAAGUUGAAGUUCCUUUUGAAAGAAGUCUGGUUGGACUGUGUGUGUUUGUUGGCCUGCUGCCAGUAACAAUGGAAGCAUGGGGAAGUCUGCAGCCUCCCUCCAUGUCUUCUGUGCAACGCUGUUCAGAUUGACUCUGUCAGGCCAGCCUUUGAGGCCCGGGAUCCAGGUGGUCUGUACCCUGUGCCCCCGGGCCCUAUGUGCCCACAGACAUGCCAGGCAUCAGCAGCUUCCUCCUGGGGUGGCGGUGUCUUCCUGGACAAAUCACAACGCUCCAAACUGUGGGCAUAUCCAUCAGGAGCCAAUGAAAAACACCCGUUUCUCUGGAGCAAAACCCACAUUACUUGGUCUCUGUCGCCUAGCCAAUCAAAACACUCGAUUCAUGGGCAUUCGGGGCCUCGGAGGCACAGGCAAAUAAAUAUGAAUUUGAUCACAUGGGAAUAAACAUUUCCAGAAAAUGUAUUUACCAGUGAGAAUAUCACAUCAAAUGCACAUCAACGUUCCAUAGCGUGCCUUUAGAAAAGCAACCUUUAGACAGGACUGAGAGACCGUUGUUCUAUGGAGAGCGUUUCGAAGUGGGGAGGCAGGUAGCCUAGUGGUUAGAGCAUUGGGCCAGUAACUGAAAGGUUGCAAAAUCAAAUCCCAGAGCUGACAAGGUAAAAAUCUGUCAUUCUGAACAAGGCAGUUAACCCACUGUUCCUAGGCCGUCAUUGUAUUUAAGAAUUGUUCUUAACUGACUUGCCUCGUUUAAAAAAAAAGUAUGCCUGCCUUUUAAGAAGUAUUACAGGUUUGGAGUCAUUAAAGGCAGGGAGAGGAGUUUGGGAAUGGUGUGUGAGUGAGGAAUACAAGCAUGAAUUAUUAAGGAUUAGGCUCUUACAUCUUUGUUCUCUCCUAAAAUACAAGCUGUCCAGCUCUGCCAGGAGAAGAGAUGAGCUCUUCAAAAGGCAAGCUGAGCUUAGAUACACUGAAAAACCUCUGGGAUGGCUGAUCUUACCUGCUCACCAGGACUUUCUCAUAGGGGCUCAGAUAGGAGAAACAGAACUACAGAAAGGAUCUCCCCUCCUCUUGACUGACCUGUGACAAAAUACAACAUGAGGGUGUUGAGAUCAAGAUGUCUCAGAGGGGCACAGAUAGAUGACCAUCUGCUUCAGACAGGGGAGGCAGGUAGCCUAGUGGUUAGAGGCAGGUAGCCUAGUGGUUAGAGGCAAGUAACCUAGUAGUUAGAGGCAGGUAGCCUAGUGGUUAGAGGCAGGUAGCCUAGUGGUUAGAGGCAGGUAGCCUAGUGGUUAGAGGCAGGUAGCCUAGUGGUUAGAGGCAGGCAGCCUAGUGGUUAGAGGAAAGGCAGUCUAGUGGUUAGAGGCAGGUAGCCUAGUGGUUAGAGGCAGGCAGUCUAGUGGUUAGAGGCAGGUAGCCUAGUGGUUAGAAGCAGGUAGCCUAAUGGUUAGAAGCAGGUAGCCUAAUGGUUAGAAGCAGGUAGCCUAGUGGUUAGAGGCAGGUAGCCUAGUGGUUAGAGGCAGGCAGUCUAGUGGUUAGAGGCAGGUAGCCUAGUGGUUAGAGGCAGGUAGCCUAGUGGUUAGAGGCAGGUAGCCUAGUGGUUAGAGGAAAGGUAGCCUAGUGGUUAGAGGCAAGUAGUCUAGUGGUUAGAGGAAAGGUAGACUAGUGGUUAGAGGCAAGUAGUCUAGUGGUUAGAGGAAAGGUAGCCUAGUGGUUAGAGGCAAGUAGUCUAGUGGUUAGAGGAAAGGUAGCCUAGUGGUUAGAGGCAAGUAGUCUAGUGGUUAGAGGAAAGGUAGCCUAGUGGUUAGAGGCAAGUAGUCUAGUGGUUAGAGGCAGGUAGCCUAGUGGUUAGAGGCAGGUAGCCUAGUGGUUAAAGGCAGGUCGUCUAGUGGUUAGAGGAAAGGUAGCCUAGUGGUUUGAGGAAAGGUAGCGGGAAAGGUAGCGUAGUGGUUUGAGGAAAGGUAGCGGGAAAGGUAGCGUAGUGGUUUGAGGAAAGGUAGCGGGAAAGGUAGCGUAGUGGUUAGAGCAUUGGGCCAGUAACCAAAAUGUUGCUGGAAUGAAUCCCCGAGCUGACAAGGUACAAAUCUGUUGCUCUGCCCCUGAACAGUCAGUUAACCCACUGUUCCUAGGCCGUCAUUGAAAAUAAGAUUUCUUUUCUUAACUGACUUGCCUGGUUAAAUAAAGGUUCAACAGAAAAAUAUAUAUAUAUAUUUAAAAAACUGAAGGUAGUAUCUCUCCCUCCUCAUGACUGACGGAGACAUCAUUAAUGACUGUCUUGGGCAGAGAGUGCCUGUCUUGGGCAGAGAGUGCCUGUCUUGGGCAGAGAGUGCCUGUCUUGGCCAGGUUUAGUCUCUGAGACCUACUGUGCUCAACAGAAACCUUUCCCUGGAGUAAAUAAAGUCACUUGGUGGCGGAGAAUAAUUGCAUUUCACUUUCCAACACCUCUGUGUGCUCAGUGUUUGUGUUUUUGUUGUCUAAAUGCCAGUGGCAGCAGCAGCGAACGCUGGUCACGUCCCCGCCAGCACCCUCCUCCGCCUGCAGAAUGAAACAGAAACAUAAUGAGAGAGUGAAAACGUGAGCAGCAGAGGAACAGAGGGAGACAGAGGGAAAGAGAGGGAGAGUAAAGGAGGAAGAGGAGGAGGAGAGGAGAGAGGAAGCUGACACAGGCCUCUGGAGAUGCAGGCAGUGAACCGCCAGCACUGAGCCCAGUGCGUCUUCCCAAGACUUGAAAGACAGACUCUCCCAAACCGGGAUUAUCAUCCUCUAGGGACCCCCUCUGAUGAACAAACACACAGAGAGAGAGAGGAGAAAGGGAGAGAGAUGGAAAGAGAGAAAGAGAUGGAUGGAGAGAGAGAGAGAGAGAGAGAGAGAGAGAGAGAGAGAGAGAGAGAGAGAGAGAGAGAGAGAGAGAGAGAGAGAGAGAGAGAGAGAGAGAGAGAGAGAGAGAGAGAGAGAGAGAGAG